GACGAACGCUGGCGGCGUGCUUAACACAUGCAAGUCGAACGAAGAGCGAUGGAAGCUUGCUUCUAUCAAUCUUAGUGGCGAACGGGUGAGUAACGCGUAAUCAACCUGCCCUUCAGAGGGGGACAACAGUUGGAAACGACUGCUAAUACCGCAUACGAUCCAAUCUCGGCAUCGGGACUGGAUGAAAGGUGGCCUCUAUUUAUAAGCUAUCACUGAAGGAGGGGAUUGCGUCUGAUUAGCUAGUUGGAGGGGUAACGGCCCACCAAGGCGAUGAUCAGUAGCCGGUCUGAGAGGAUGAACGGCCACAUUGGGACUGAGACACGGCCCAGACUCCUACGGGAGGCAGCAGUGGGGAAUCUUCCGCAAUGGACGAAAGUCUGACGGAGCAACGCCGCGUGAGUGAUGACGGCCUUCGGGUUGUAAAGCUCUGUUAAUCGGGACGAAUGGUUCUUGUGCGAAUAGUGCGAGGAUUUGACGGUAUCGGAAUAGAAAGCCACGGCUAACUACGUG
rnacentral:rRNA from 1 species